rnacentral:rRNA from 1 species
UUAAGUUAUUAAGGGCGCACGGUGGAUGCCUUGGCACUAGAAGCCGAUGAAGGACGUUACUAACGACGAUAUGCUUUGGGGAGCUGUAAGUAAGCUUUGAUCCAGAGAUUUCCGAAUGGGGAAACCCAGCAUGAGUUAUGUCAUGUUAUCGAUAUGUGAAUACAUAGCAUAUCAGAAGGCACACCCGGAGAACUGAAACAUCUUAGUACCCGGAGGAAGAGAAAGAAAAUUCGAUUCCCUUAGUAGCGGCGAGCGAAACGGGAAGAGCCCAAACCAACAAGCUUGCUUGUUGGGGUUGUAGGACACUCUNUACGGAGUUACAAAGGACGACAUUAGACGAAUCAUCUGGAAAGAUGAAUCAAAGAAGGUAAUAAUCCUGUAGUCGAAAAUGUUGUCUCUCUUGAGUGGAUCCUGAGUACGACGGAGCACGUGAAAUUCCGUCGGAAUCUGGGAGGACCAUCUCCUAAGGCUAAAUACUCUCUAGUGACCGAUAGUGAACCAGUACCGUGAGGGAAAGGUGAAAAGCACCCCGGAAGGGGAGUGAAAUAGAACCUGAAACCGUGUGCUUACAAGUAGUCAGAGCCCGUUAAUGGGUGAUGGCGUGCCUUUUGUAGAAUGAACCGGCGAGUUACGAUUUGAUGCAAGGUUAAGCAGUAAAUGUGGAGCCGUAGCGAAAGCGAGUCUGAAUAGGGCGUUUAGUAUUUGGUCGUAGACCCGAAACCAGGUGAUCUACCCUUGGUCAGGUUGAAGUUCAGGUAACACUGAAUGGAGGACCGAACCGACUUACGUUGAAAAGUGAGCGGAUGAACUGAGGGUAGCGGAGAAAUUCCAAUCGAACCUGGAGAUAGCUGGUUCUCUCCGAAAUAGCUUUAGGGCUAGCCUCAAGUGAUGAUUAUUGGAGGUAGAGCACUGUUUGGACGAGGGGCCCCUCUCGGGUUACCGAAUUCAGACAAACUCCGAAUGCCAAUUAAUUUAACUUGGGAGUCAGAACAUGGGUGAUAAGGUCCGUGUUCGAAAGGGAAACAGCCCAGACCACCAGCUAAGGUCCCAAAAUAUAUGUUAAGUGGAAAAGGAUGUGGCGUUGCCCAGACAACUAGGAUGUUGGCUUAGAAGCAGCCAUCAUUUAAAGAGUGCGUAAUAGCUCACUAGUCGAGUGACACUGCGCCGAAAAUGUACCGGGGCUAAACAUAUUACCGAAGCUGUGGAUUGUCCUUUGGACAAUGGUAGGAGAGCGUUCUAAGGGCGUUGAAGCAUGAUCGUAAGGACAUGUGGAGCGCUUAGAAGUGAGAAUGCCGGUGUGAGUAGCGAAAGACGGGUGAGAAUCCCGUCCACCGAUUGACUAAGGUUUCCAGAGGAAGGCUCGUCCGCUCUGGGUUAGUCGGGUCCUAAGCUGAGGCCGACAGGCGUAGGCGAUGGAUAACAGGUUGAUAUUCCUGUACCACCUAUAAUCGUUUUAAUCGAUGGGGGGACGCAGUAGGAUAGGCGAAGCGUGCGAUUGGAUUGCACGUCUAAGCAGUAAGGCUGAGUAUUAGGCAAAUCCGGUACUCGUUAAGGCUGAGCUGUGAUGGGGAGAAGACAUUGNGUCUUCGAGUCGUUGAUUUCACACUGCCGAGAAAAGCCUCUAGAUAGAAAAUAGGUGCCCGUACCGCAAACCGACACAGGUAGUCAAGAUGAGAAUUCUAAGGUGAGCGAGCGAACUCUCGUUAAGGAACUCGGCAAAAUGACCCCGUAACUUCGGGAGAAGGGGUGCUCUUUAGGGUUAACGCCCAGAAGAGCCGCAGUGAAUAGGCCCAAGCGACUGUUUAUCAAAAACACAGGUCUCUGCUAAACCGUAAGGUGAUGUAUAGGGGCUGACGCCUGCCCGGUGCUGGAAGGUUAAGAGGAGUGGUUAGCUUCUGCGAAGCUACGAAUCGAAGCCCCAGUAAACGGCGGCCGUAACUAUAACGGUCCUAAGGUAGCGAAAUUCCUUGUCGGGUAAGUUCCGACCCGCACGAAAGGCGUAACGAUUUGGGCACUGUCUCAACGAGAGACUCGGUGAAAUCAUAGUACCUGUGAAGAUGCAGGUUACCCGCGACAGGACGGAAAGACCCCGUGGAGCUUUACUGUAGCCUGAUAUUGAAAUUCGGCACAGCUUGUACAGGAUAGGUAGGAGCCUUUGAAACGUGAGCGCUAGCUUACGUGGAGGCGCUGGUGGGAUACUACCCUAGCUGUGUUGGCUUUCUAACCCGCACCACUUAUCGUGGUGGGAGACAGUGUCAGGCGGGCAGUUUGACUGGGGCGGUCGCCUCCUAAAAGGUAACGGAGGCGCUCAAAGGUUCCCUCAGAAUGGUUGGAAAUCAUUCAUAGAGUGUAAAGGCAUAAGGGAGCUUGACUGCGAGACCUACAAGUCGAGCAGGGUCGAAAGACGGACUUAGUGAUCCGGUGGUUCCGCAUGGAAGGGCCAUCGCUCAACGGAUAAAAGCUACCCCGGGGAUAACAGGCUUAUCUCCCCCAAGAGUUCACAUCGACGGGGAGGUUUGGCACCUCGAUGUCGGCUCAUCGCAUCCUGGGGCUGUAGUCGGUCCCAAGGGUUGGGCUGUUCGCCCAUUAAAGCGGUACGCGAGCUGGGUUCAGAACGUCGUGAGACAGUUCGGUCCUAUCCGUCGUGGGCGUAGGAAAUUUGAGAGGAGCUGUCCUUAGUACGAGAGGACCGGGAUGGACAUACCUCUGGUGUACCAGUUGUCGUGCCAACGGCAUAGCUGGGUAGCUAUGUGUGGACGGGAUAAGUGCUGAAAGCAUCUAAGCAUGAAGCCCCCCUCAAGAUGAGAUUUCCCAACUUCGGUUAUAAGAUCCCUCAAAGAUGAUGAGGUUAAUAGGUUCGAGGUGGAAGCAUGGUGACAUGUGGAGCUGACGAAUACUAAUCGAUCGAAGACUUAAUCAA